rnacentral:rRNA from 1 species
GAUCCUGGCUCAGGAUGAACGCUGGCGGCGUGCCUAAUACAUGCAAGUCGAACGCUUCACAUAUGUGAAGAGUGGCGAACGGGUGAGUAAUACAUAAGUAACCUGGCCUUUACAGGGGGAUAACUAUUGGAAACGAUAGCUAAGACCGCAUAGGUGUCAUAGCCGCAUGGAGAUGAUAUGAAAUAUGCUACGGCAUAGGUAGAGGAUGGGACUUAUGGCGCA